rnacentral:tRNA from 1 species
UAUCUCCGUAGGCUAAUUGGAUAAACCACAGGAUUUCUAAUCCCGCAUUCUGAGUUCGAAUCUCAGCGGAGAUGU